CCGAGCGGUAGAGAUCUUUCGGGAUCUUGAGAGCGGCGUACGGGUGCGGAACACGUGUGCAACCUGCCUUUAUCUGGGGGAUAGCCUUUCGAAAGGAAGAUUAAUACCCCAUAAUAUAUUGAAUGGCAUCAUUUGAUAUUGAAAACUCCGGUGGAUAGAGAUGGGCACGCGCAAGAUUAGAUAGUUGGUGAGGUAACGGCUCACCAAGUCAGCGAUCUUUAGGGGGCCUGAGAGGGUGAUCCCCCACACUGGUACUGAGACACGGACCAGACUCCUACGGGAGGCAGCAGUGAGGAAUAUUGGACAAUGGGUGAGAGCCUGAUCCAGCCAUCCCGCGUGAAGGACGACGGCCCUAUGGGUUGUAAACUUCUUUUGUAUAGGGAUAAACCUACCCUCGUGAGGGUAGCUGAAGGUACUAUACGAAUAAGCACCGGCUAACUCCGUGCCAGCAGCCGCGGUAAUACGGAGGGUGCAAGCGUUAUCCGGAUUUAUUGGGUUUAAAGGGUCCGUAGGCUGAUUUGUAAGUCAGUGGUGAAAUCUCACAGCUUAACUGUGAAACUGCCAUUGAUACUGCAAGUCUUGAGUGUUGUUGAAGUAGCUGGAAUAAGUAGUGUAGCGGUGAAAUGCAUAGAUAUUACUUAGAACACCAAUUGCGAAGGCAGGUUACUAAGCAACAACUGACGCUGAUGGACGAAAGCGUGGGGAGCGAACAGGAUUAGAUACCCUGGUAGUCCACGCCGUAAACGAUGCUAACUCGUUUUUGGGCUUUUGGGUUCAGAGACUAAGCGAAAGUGAUAAGUUAGCCACCUGGGGAGUACGAACGCAAGUUUGAAACUCAAAGGAAUUGACGGGGGCCCGCACAAGCGGUGGAUUAUGUGGUUUAAUUCGAUGAUACGCGAGGAACCUUACCAAGGCUUAAAUGGGAAAUGACAGGCUUAGAAAUAGGCUUUUCUUCGGACAUUUUUCAAGGUGCUGCAUGGUUGUCGUCAGCUCGUGCCGUGAGGUGUUAGGUUAAGUCCUGCAACGAGCGCAACCCCUGUCACUAGUUGCCAUCAUUAAGUUGGGGACUCUAGUGAGACUGCCUACGCAAGUAGAGAGGAAGGUGGGGAUGACGUCAAAUCAUCACGGCCCUUACGCCUUGGGCCACACACGUAAUACAAUGGCCGGUACAGAGGGCAGCUACACUGCGAAGUGAUGCAAAUCUCGAAAGCCGGUCUCAGUUCGGAUUGGAGUCUGCAACUCGACUCUAUGAAGCUGGAAUCGCUAGUAAUCGCGCAUCAGCCAUGGCGCGGUGAAUACGUUCCCGGGCCUUGUACACACCGCCCGUCAAGCCAUGGAAGUCUGGGGUAC
rnacentral:rRNA from 1 species